GUUCACUGCUAUAUUCAUGUGUCUGUGGUUUUCAGUAGGUGACUCCAUGGAAGAUUCAAUAGAGGCAUUUUUCACCCAAAAGUUUGUAGAUGAAGGUGACAAUGUUACUCUGUCCUGCAGAUACAAAAAAAUUGGUACAACAAACUACCUGCACUGGUACAGGCAAUAUCCAACAUCUGAACCUGAGUUCCUUCUUAAUAUUCUUCAAAGUGGAGAUGUAAUUUCCAACACUGACCCUAGAAUGUCUGCUAAAAUCGAUGAUAAACAAGUGGAUCUGAUCAUCUCCUCUGCUGCUGUAUCAGACUCUGCACUAUACUACUGUGCUCUGCAGCCCACAGUGACAGGAAAUCCAGCUGCACUGUACAAAAACUUUCACACUGUUUAACUACACUGAAGGCAAAUAUACUACUGUUUUUUCCUCUUUUAGCUGAUUCCAGUGGCUGGGUUGGUUCCAUACUGAUCCUAGAUGCUGGACUCUCUCUGUGUAUCUUACAUAUCCACAUCAAUGAAUUGAUAUAUGCAUGUGAUUUGCAUGUUUAAUGUUUGACUAUUUACACUUGUAGAAGUUAAUGUAUUUAUAAUCACACUCUGUGGUGUCACCCAGAGGAG